ACAGAGGGUGCAAGCGUUAAUCGGAAUUACUGGGCGUAAAGCGUGCGUAGGCGGUUUGUUAAGUCUGUCGUGAAAGCCCCGGGCUCAACCUGGGAAUGGCGAUGGAAACUGGCGAGCUAGAGUACGGUAGAGGAGAGUGGAAUUCCCGGUGUAGCAGUGAAAUGCGUAGAGAUCGGGAGGAACAUCAGUUGCGAAGGCGGCUCUCUGGACCAGUACUGACGCUGAGGCGCGAAAGCUGGGGGAGCGAACGGGA
rnacentral:rRNA from 1 species